rnacentral:rRNA from 1 species
UACGUAGGGACCGAGCGUUGUCCGGAAUCAUUGGGCGUAAAGCGCGCGUAGGCGGUCAGGUAAGUCCGGUGUGAAAGUCAUAGGCUCAACCUAUGAAUGCCGCUGGAAACUGCCUGACUUGAGUCCGGAAGGGGCGAGUGGAAUUCCUGGUGUAGCGGUGAAAUGCGUAGAUAUCGGAAGGAACGCCGGUGGCGAAAGCGGCGUGCUGGACCCCUUCUGACGCUGAUGCGCGAAAGCCAGGGGAGCGAACGGG